rfam:Photobacterium jeanii strain R-40508 C1841, whole genome shotgun sequence.
AGUUAACGGCGUAGGGUACAGAGGUAAGAUGUUCUAUCUUUCAGACCUUUUGUUUCACGUUAUUGGAUUUGGCUGAUUCAGCCGCCCUGGUCAUUUGACCGGGGCGUUUUUUA